rnacentral:tRNA from 4 species
GGGCGAAUAGCUCAGCUGGGAGAGCACCUGCCUUACAAGCAGGGGGUCACAGGUUCGAGCCCUGUUUCGCCCA